GCAGGGUUCUUUUUAACCUAACAAUUAUAACUUGACCCAUUGUGUCCUUGUUUGUUUUAUUAUUUGAAUGACUGUGCUAGAAUAGAAACAUCUUUCCUGUAGGCCCAACACCUAGGACAAUAAACACUUGCUAAACAUAGAAGGGAAUGAGAGUAAAAAAGAUGGAGAGACUGGAGAGGUGGCAAGAACUCCUGCGUUUCCAGAAGACCCAUUAUCCCUUCUGGAUCCGAGGCCAGCCUCACAUGUGUACGUACACAGACACAAAUACAUACAGGCACAUGAAGACAGACAGACAGACAGACAAGGAUUGCCACAGAUUCAGAAGCGUUAACUUCAACUGAAAUUUCACUUUCCAAAUGAGCAUGAUCUGUAUAUACAAUAGCAUGUAUGCAUUAGAUGUGGAUUGCCUUUGGGAUAAGUUCUCUUCCAUUCCUCCAUGUCUUUUUUAGCAUACACUUCAUCCUUCCAAAGGACAUUUUACAUGAAGAAAAAAAUAGAGCCCAGAACUCAGAUGAAUGGCUUAUUUUUAAAGUACUUUAUUUACAGCUAGUGAGCUACUUCAGCCAGUGAAGGCUUGGACACCUAACUUGCAUAAAGUGUGCCAUAGUGGGCACUGAAUAAUCUGUACAGGGUGGAACCCAGGGCCUUACACUACUCUUGAGCAUUUGAGCGACACCUUUGGCUCCCUACAGUGUGAACACUUACUUCCUAGUUUGCUCAGUCAGAAAUUGAAGCUAAGUUAAUGUUCGGAAAGAAAGUAGUUCUUUUCAAAUCUCGAGCUUAUUUGUCUGAAAAGGGGAGUCACUUAAUGGUUACCUUUCUUGCUAAUGAGGAAUCCUUCCUCCAUGUCUCCAACCACAAACUCAUUUACUGUGGGCGAAAUGGCCCGAGACCUGACAGGUUUAUGUAAUGGAGGAGUCAGGACAGAAGCUCCUGGCAGCUUCUGAAGUGUUUAAGCUGAAGAGUCCUACUGACAGACAGCCAGACAGUAAAUGGACAUUCAUUUAAAACUCAGAACUGGGGCAGGAGUUUACGCUGUGAUGUAAUAAAAUCUAAGAGCUGUCUGUGUUCUCCAUACUCUGUAGACUUUGUAGUUUCCUGUUCUUUCAGCUUGGGGAGGGGACAAGUAGGCAUAAAAAUGUGAGAUUCCUGCUCUAUCAUGAAAACAGAAACGGUUUUCAGGUGAGUGCAUGUAGUGGCUGUGAAGAUGUAGAGUCUGGGCAGCAGCAGCUACUGCAAGCCACCCUUGGGUCUGAUGGCUCUUCAGCCCCAACUUCUUGUUUUCUGUCACAGGUAAUUCACUUUGUAAGAUCCAGGUAUCUUUAAUCCGACUUCAUUUUCUUCUUUGCCUGUACCUCUUAGAAAACCAGACCAGGGAAGUUGAUAAAGUAAUGCCAAAAAUAAAUUCACACCCAUAACUUGAGUAUCAACAAUUUUAUAACACAGGAGCUCAGUGAUGUACAGAUUACAUGAGUGGCUCAGUCAACACUUGCUUAUUUUUUUAGCUAUGUGCUGGGAAUUUACAUUGUAUAGAAAUCUGAUGUUUAGCUAAGCAGGUGCUUUUGUAUUCUAUUCUCCUUUUGGUUGUAUCUAGGCAUUUUAGUCAAUAUUU
rnacentral:lncRNA from 1 species